GUUGAUUCUGUUGUAACAUGCAGAGGAGGUGGUGGAAGCAAACACAAUAGCAGCAUUCAAGAAAUACCUGGACAAAUACACGAAUAGGAAGAGAAUAGAGGCAUCUGGAUCCUUGACUGGACUAUUCUGGAGAAGAGUCAUACUGGACAAGAAAUGUCAACUCUGUUUCUUUCUCCACACAUGCUUACAGGCCUGCUGAGCUUCUUCAGAAUUCUGUGUGUUUGUUAUAGAUAUAUUGCAGCAACUCUCCAAGGAUUUACGAACAGCAUGCCCCAAACCUGGAAUCUCUAUCAUCAAGAGAGACAAGGACAGAGCGUCUAUGGGAAGAUCAGCCUCCACACUCCACCCCUCACCCCCACCAUAUCAAAUUAUCUGAGUCAUACACAAAAUUCUUUGGAAAUGUAUCGCCAUUCCUUUGUCAAAAUGCCAUCAUAGCCCAACAGGAAUGCGAGAGCAGCUUCACUACAUGACUGAAAAGGUCCAAGAAAUCAGCUGACCAAGCAUCAUUUGACAGUGAG